rnacentral:tRNA from 1 species
GGAUAGCUCAGUUGGUUAGAGCAUUGUGCUGAUAACACCACGGUUGCAGUUUUGAUCCCUGUAAGGAACA